UAGGGUAAUGGCCUACCAAGGCGAUGACGGGUAGGGGGUGUGAGAGCAUGACCCCCCACAAUGGGAUUGAGAGACGGCCCAUACUCCUACGGGAGGCAGCAGCAGGGAAUUUUGCACAAUGGACGGAAGUCUGAUGCAGCGACGCCGCGUGGGUGAUGAAGGCCUUCGGGUCGUAAAACCCUUUUCUGGGGGAAGAGGAAGGACGGUACCCCAGGAAUAAGUGUCGGCUAACUACGUGCCAGCAGCCGCGGUAAUACGUAGGACACGAGCGUUAUCCGGAUUUACUGGGCGUAAAGCGCCUGUAGGCGGUUUUGUAAGUCGGAUGUGAAAGCCCCAGGCUUAACCUGGGGAGGCCAUUCGAUACUGCGGGACUUGAGGAUAGCAGAGGGGAGUGGAAUUCCCGGUGUAGCGGUAAAAUGCGCAGAUAUCGGGAGGAACACCAGUGGCGAAGGCGGCUCCCUGGGCUACUCCUGACGCUGAGAGGCGAAAGCUAGGGGAGCGAACAGGAUUAGAGACCCUGGUAGUCCUAGCCCUAAACGAUGGAUGCUAGGUGGAGGAUCGAUAGGUUUUCUGCCAAAGCUAACGCGUUAAGCAUCCCGCCUGGGGACUACGGCCGCAAGGCUAAAACUCAAACGAAUUGACGGGGGCCCGCACAAGCAGCGGAGCGUGUGGUUUAAUUCGAUGUUACACGAAGAACCUUACCUGGGUUUGACAUGGACGUGGUAGCGAAGCAAAAGCGGAGCGACCCUUCGGGGAGCGUUGACAGGUGCUGCAUGCUGUCGUCAGCUCGUGCCGUGAAGUGU
rnacentral:rRNA from 1 species